rnacentral:rRNA from 1 species
CGCCUUGCCAGCCCGCUCAGAAACUUAAAGGAAUUGACGGGGCCCGCACAAGCAGCGGAGCGUGUGGUUUAAUUCGAUGAUACGCGAAGAACCUCACCCAGGUUUGACAUGCACGUGGUACUGAUCCGAAAGGUGAUGGACCCUUCGGGGAGCGUGCACAGGUGUUGCAUGGCCGUCGUCAGCUCGUGCCGUGAGGUGUUGGGUUAAGUCCCGCAACGAGCGCAACCCCUGUCGCCAGUUGUAUUUUUCUGGCGAGACUGCCGAGAAAACCUCGGAGGAAGGAGGGGAUGAUGUCAGGUCAGCAUGGCCCUUACGCCUGGGGCUACACACACGCUACAAUGGGCAGUACAACGGGCAGCCAAGCCGCGAGGCGGAGCUAAUCCCAUCAAAGCUGUCCUCAGUUCGGAUUGCAGGCUGAAACCCGCCUGCAUGAAGCCGGAGUUGCUAGUAACCGCAGGUCAGCAUUACUGCGGUGAAUACGUUCCCGGGCCUU